rnacentral:rRNA from 1 species
GACGAACGCUGGCGGCGUGCCUAAUACAUGCAAGUCGAACGCUUCUUUCCUCCCGAGUGCUUGCACUCAAUAGGAAAGAGGAGUGGCGGACGGGUGAGUAACACGUGGGUAACCUACCCAUCAGAGGGGGAUAACACUUGGAAACAGGUGCUAAUACCGCAUAACAGUUUAUGCCGCAUGGCAUAAGAGUGAAAGGCGCUUUCGGGUGUCGCUGAUGCAUGGACCCGCGGUGCAUUAGCGAGUUGGUGAGGUAACGGCUCACCAAGGCCACGAUGCAUAGCCGACCUGAGAGGGUGAUCGGCCACACUGGGACUGAGACACGGCCCAGACUCCUACGGGAGGCAGCAGUAGGGAAUCUUCGGCAAUGGACGGAAGUCUGACCGAGCAACGCCGCGUGAGUGAAGAAGGUUUUCGGAUCGUAAAACUCUGUUGUUAGAGAAGAACAAGGACGUUAGUAACUGAACGUCCCCGGACGGUAUCUAACCAGAAAGCCACGGCUAACUACGUGCCAGCAGCCGCCGUAA